GAUGAACGCUGGCGGCGUGCUUAACACAUGCGAGUCGAACGGUAAAGCAGUGCUUGUUUUGUGUGCUCGUGUCGAACGGGUGUGUGACACACGUGCAACCCGUCCCCUACACUUUGGUAAGCCUUGAAAACAGCGUGGAAAACAGCAUAUGGGAUGCGCCCGCACGUGCAGCAGUUGGAAAGAUUUCUCGGUCUGGGGUAGGCUCGCGGGCUAUCAGCUUGUUGGUGGGGUAAUGGCUUACCAAGGCCUCGACGGGUAGCCGGCCUGAGAGGGUGACCGGCCACACUGGGACUGAGAUACGGCCCAGACCCCUACGGGAGGCAGCAGUGGGGAAUAUUGCACAAUGGGCGGAAGCCUGAUGCAGCAACGCCGCGUGAGGGAUGACGGCCUUCGGGUUGUAAACCGCUUUCGGCAGGGAAGAAGCGAGAGUGACGGUACCUGGUGAAGAAGCACCGGCUAACUACGUG
rnacentral:rRNA from 1 species